GAUGAACGCUGGCGGCGUGCUUAACACAUGCAAGUCGAACGAUGAAGCCCAGCUUGCUGGGUGGAUUCGUGGCGAACGGGUGAGUAACACGUGAGUAACCUGCCCUUAACUCUGGGAUAAGCCUGGGAAACUGGGGCUAAUACCGGAUAGGAGCGCCUACCGCAUGGUGGGUGUUGGAAAGAUUUAUCGGUUUUGGAUGGACUCGCGGCCUAUCAGCUUGUUGGUGAGGUGAUGGCUCACCAAGGCGACGACGGGUAGCCGGCCUGAGAGGGUGACCGGCCACACUGGGACUGAGACACGGCCCAGACUCCUACGGGAGGCAGCAGUGGGGAAUAUUGCACAAUGGGCGGAAGCCUGAUGCAGCGACGCCGCGUGAGGGAUGACGGCCUUCGGGUUGUAAACCUCUUUCAGUAGGGAAGAAGCGAAAGUGACGGUACCUGCAGAAGAAGCACCGGCUAACUACGUG
rnacentral:rRNA from 1 species